rnacentral:tRNA from 1 species
GGGGCGUUGGUCCAACGGGAAGACGCUUGGCUUGCACCCAGGUAAUCGGGGUUCGAUUCCCCGACGCUCCAC